ACGAACGCUGGCGGCGUGCUUAACACAUGCAAGUCGAACGGAAAGGCCCUGCUUUUGUGGGGUGCUCGAGUGGCGAACGGGUGAGUAACACGUGAGUAACCUGCCCUUGACUUUGGGAUAACUUCAGGAAACUGGGGCUAAUACCGGAUAGGAGCUCCUGCUGCAUGGUGGGGGUUGGAAAGUUUCGGCGGUUGGGGAUGGACUCGCGGCUUAUCAGCUUGUUGGUGGGGUAGUGGCUUACCAAGGCUUUGACGGGUAGCCGGCCUGAGAGGGUGACCGGCCACAUUGGGACUGAGAUACGGCCCAGACUCCUACGGGAGGCAGCAGUGGGGAAUAUUGCACAAUGGGCGGAAGCCUGAUGCAGCAACGCCGCGUGCGGGAUGACGGCCUUCGGGUUGUAAACCGCUUUCGCCUGUGACGAAGCGUGAAUGACGGUAAUGGGUAAAGAAGCACCGGCUAACUACGUG
rnacentral:rRNA from 1 species